rnacentral:sRNA from 1 species
UUCUGAAACCGUAUUUGAUACAAUCAACACUGAGACCGAUAAACUAGAACAAAAAAGAAAAUUAAAGCAGAAGCAGCAUUUCGAUGCAGAUGAAAAGGAAUCGGAUUGUAUAUUACAUGGGUACAUAAAAAAACUUGGGGGCUCUUUUGCAUCUUUAUGGCAAACAAAAUAUGCCAAGUUAUAUCCAAAUAGGCUGGAGCUACAUUCGGAAAGUGGAAAUAAUAAACCAGAAUUAAUUUUUAUGGACCAAGUAGAAGAUAUAUCAUCAGAUUUUAUUCUGCACAAAAAUGAGAAUUGCAUUCAAAUUCGCAUUAAUGAUGGAUCCCGAGAUGGCCGAAUUAUUUUGACAAACUCAGAUGAAAUUGGAUUAAAAGAAUGGGCAUCUUCUCUAAGAUCCGCACAUAAAAUUUCUCAGGACCUCUUGGGAUCGAUGGC